UAAUAAUUGCCACGUCAAACAAAAAUUAGUAUUAGCAGCGACCCAUGUCGCAGUUAAUAAUGACCCAGAGAUAUCAAGACCGUCACCUUCUUCUCUCCUUCAUUUUCUUUUGCAAACAGACAACUCCAAACGCAGCAAACCCUCCGACCUCCCUCUCUCUCUUUCUGACCUGCGAACUAGACAGGCAGUACACUCAUAUCUCAACAGUUAUAUAUAUAUAUAUAUAUAAAUGUUUAAUUGUUUUUUUAUUUUAUUAUUUUUGUUUCUGUUUAUUAACUUUGUUUUCUCUCUCUGAUAGCUACGAAGAAAGUCUUCCAAAAUCAGUUUUUUUUUAUUAUUUGGUUUUUCUAUAUACCAGUGUUUAUAUAUAAUUUUUAAAGUUUUAGAUCUAUUUUGGUCUCAUUCCCAUAUUCCUUUUCCUUCUUUUUGAUAAAAUUAUUGAAUAGUUUUAUAUAUUUGUGAUUUCUUGUACUAGAUUUAGACAGUGUAGGAAGUUUUACCAUAGUUUUCUUUUAUUUGUAAAUCUGGUUUUCUUUAUUAUUUUCUUAGUCGUUCCAAGCUUUUUUUUUCUGGUUUUUGUUGCUUUUUGUUAAUUAGGAAUAUAUAUUUGGAUUUGGUUUUUGAAAUCUAUUUGAUAAUCUAAUAUGGAUGGUCUGAAAUUUAUACACUAUAUCCCUAAUUUUGCUAUUGAAAAAUCUAUAUUUAUAUAUAUAUAUAUUCUACUAGAAUCUCAUUUUUUUCAAUCAUUUUUGUGUGGAUAUGGCUGAUUAGAAUCCCACUGUUGCAUUCUCUUGCAGGAGUGAUAUAGAUGGAGUGAAAGCCCAUGGUUGCCUCACUUUUUGAAAGAGUGUAUCCUCUGUGCUAGAUUUUUUUUUCUUUCUUUAAAUGCUCUAUUAUAGAAUUCGCUUAUUUAAUUACAUGUUAUAUAUGUUGCAAAAGUUCAUGAUAUAUUUAUUUUUGGUGUAGGUAAAACUUAAAGUUGAUUUUGUUUGGCCCUCUCACUUUUGUAUUUUAAUUUAAAUAUUUUUUGUUGCAAAUUUUGUGUGGUUGUUAGUUUCUCUCAUGUUUCUUUACUAUUUGAUAAAAUCUUAGUGUAUUUCCCAUAUGGUUACCAACUGUCUGAUAAAAUGCUUCAGUGAAUAUAUGAAACUUUUGCAUAGAUGUUGUGAUUUUUGUGAUUCUUUUAUUUUUGAUUUUGGAUACUAAAUUUUUUUUCUCUAUUAUUAUUAUUGGUCAAGCUUUUCUCAUUAAUAUGGCAUUUUUUUAUUUGUUGGAUAAUGUAUUAAGAUUUUCUUUUAUGCCUUUAGGAAAACAGGCUUUCCACAUUACCGCUCGAAAGAUCAAAGUUUGAACGUUUAUUAUGGUUUUAGUCAUAAUAUCACUAUUGUGAUUUUUUAUGAUGCAUUUCUUUUUCUGGGUUGUGUAGGAAGGUCUUCGACAUUUCUCUCAGAGACACAUAAGGUUAUUUUGGUUUGGCUCUUCCCAAGUUAAUCAUUUAUGGGAUCAUAUCUUGAGUGUUCAGCACUGGUGGCUACGCAUGGGAUCAUAUCUUCAAUGUUCAGCACAUGUAUUUUGACAUUGCAAUUGGAUUUAAUUUGUAAAGAUUUUGUUCUCAAAUUUUGGGAGACGGAAUCCUAACAUGGUUAUUAAAAAUUUUGUAGAACUUGCUACAAAAUUAUAUAUUACAUUAAUUUCAUUUCAA